rnacentral:lncRNA from 1 species
CGGCAGCCUUUCACUGAGGCCACCCGCCAGUUUCAAAUUCAGUGGCGUUUGCCCUGAUUCCCGGGGCCUGGCUUUCAGCGUAGCAAUUCUGCCGGCGAAGAAGGUGAGCGCAGUGCUGUGUGGCAGCAGAGGUCCUUAGGACGAGGAACAGCGGGACGAGGAAGGGCAGACUGGUGAAAUCGCAAACUGGGCGUCUGUUCCGGCACCGGACCCCUGUUUGCAAAGCGGCGCGGUGCGCAGGAGUCGGCAUUAACAGCAGCCGCGUGUCUGGGUCUUAGAUUUGGCCUAGCUGUGUUGAGCUUUUCAUGGAUUAUGUUACGUAGAUAAGACACUGCAACAGUCCAUGGCUAAUGAAACACAGAAGGUUGGUGCCAUCCAUUUUCCUUUUCCC